GACACGGUCCAAACUCCUACGGGAGGCAGCAGUGAGGAAUAUUGGUCAAUGGGCGCAGGCCUGAACCAGCCAAGUCGCGUGAGGGAAGACUGCCCUAUGGGUUGUAAACCUCUUUUAUAAGGGAAGAAUAAUGACUACGUGUAGUCAGAUGCCCGUACCUUAUGAAUAAGCAUCGGCUAACUCCGUGCCAGCAGCCGCGGUAAUACGGAGGAUGCGAGCGUUAUCCGGAUUUAUUGGGUUUAAAGGGUGCGUAGGCGGUAUUUUAAGUUAGUGGUAAAACGUCGGGGCUUCACCUUGAUUGGCCAUUAAAACUGGAGUACUAGAGUACAGACGAGGUAGGCGGAAUAAGUUAAGUAGCGGUGAAAUGCUUAGAUAUAACUUAGAACCCCGAUAGCGAAGGCAGCUUACCAGACUGUUACUGACGCUGAAGCACGAGAGCGUGGGUAGCGAACAGGAUUAGAUACCCUGGUAGUCCACGCCGUAAACGAUGCUCACUGGUUCUGUGCGAUAUACAGUACGGGAUUAAGCGAAAGUAUUAAGUGAGCCACCUGGGGAGUACGUCGGCAACGAUGAAACUCAAAGGAAUUGACGGGGGCCCGCACAAGCGGAGGAACAUGUGGUUUAAUUCGAUGAUACGCGAGGAACCUUACCCGGGCUUGAAAGUUAGUGACUGAUCUGGAAACAGGUCUUCCCUUCGGGGCACGAAACUAGGUGCUGCAUGGUUGUCGUCAGCUCGUGCCGUGAGGUGUCGGGUUAAGUCCCAUAACGAGCGCAACCCUUACCGUUAGUUGCCAUCAUUAAGUUGGGCACUCUAUCGGGACUGCCACCGUAAGGUGAGAGGAAGGCGGGGAUGACGUCAAAUCAGCACGGCCCUUACACCCGGGGCUACACACGUGUUACAAUGGCCGGUACAGAGGGUCGCUACCUGGUGACAGGAUGCCAAUCUCAAAAUCCGGUCUUAGUUCGGAUUGGAGUCUGUAACCCGACUCCAUGAAGUUGGAUUCGCUAGUAAUCGCGCAUCAGCCAUGGCGCGGUGAAUACGUUCCCGGGCCUUGUACACACCGCCCGUCAAGCCAUGGAAGCCGGGGGUGCCUGAAGUCCGUAACCGCGAGGAUCGGCCUAGGGCAAAACUGGUAACUGGGGCUAAGUCGUAACAAGGUAGCCGUACCGGAAGGGGCGGCUG
rnacentral:rRNA from 1 species